GAUAUGGACAAGCGGGACAACCCUGAUCCAGCAAUGCCGCGUGUGUGAAGAAGGCCUUCGGGUUGUAAAGCACUUUCAGUAGCGAAGAAGAUGGUUGGGUUAAUACCUCGAUUAUUUGACGUUAAAUACAGAAGAAGCACCGGCUAACUCUGUGCCAGCAGCCGCGGUAAGACAGAGGGUGCGAGCGUUAAUCGGAAUUACUGGGCGUAAAGCGUACGUAGGCGGAUGUUUAAGUCAGAUGUGAAAUCCCCGAGCUCAACUUGGGAACUGCAUUUGAUACUGGGCAUCUAGAGUAUGGUAGAGGAAAGUGGAAUUUCCGGUGUAGCGGUGAAAUGCGUAGAUAUCGGAAGGAACAUCAGUGGCGAAGGCGGCUUUCUGGACCAAUACUGACGCUGAGGUACGAAAGCGUGGGUAGCAAACAGGAUUAGAUACCCUGGUAGUCCACGCCGUA
rnacentral:rRNA from 1 species